UUUAUGGAGAGUUUGAUCCUGGCUCAGGAUGAACGCUGGCGGCGUGCCUAAUACAUGCAAGUCGAGCGAACAGAUAAGGAGCUUGCUCCUUUGACGUUAGCGGCGGACGGGUGAGUAACACGUGGGUAACCUACCUAUAAGACUGGAAUAACUCCGGGAAACCGGGGCUAAUGCCGGAUAACAUGUUGAACCGCAUGGUUCUACAGUGAAAGACGGUUUUGCUGUCACUUAUAGAUGGACCCGCGCCGUAUUAGCUAGUUGGUGGGGUAACGGCCUACCAAGGCGACGAUACGUAGCCGACCUGAGAGGGUGAUCGGCCACACUGGAACUGAGACACGGUCCAGACUCCUACGGGAGGCAGCAGUAGGGAAUCUUCCGCAAUGGGCGAAAGCCUGACGGAGCAACGCCGCGUGAGUGAUGAAGGUCUUCGGAU
rnacentral:rRNA from 1 species